rnacentral:lncRNA from 1 species
UCUGAGUUUGAGUCCAGCCUGGUUUACAUAGUGAAUUUCAAGACAGUCAGAAUUAUGUAGAGAGACCCUGUCUCUGUGUGAGGAGGCCAGAGGACAACUGGCAGGAGUCAACUCUCUCCCCCGUCCAUGUGGGGUCCCAGCUACCGAACUCGGGCCCUCAUGCUUGUUAGCUGUACCCACAGAACUGUCUUACACUCAUUCGUUUUUCCAAAGAAUGUGAAAGAACGGCAGUGAGCACGUGAGCUUCAGUUGAACCGUCCUUCCCAGGAGCGAGAAUGUGAAGUGGAGACUCAGGUUACUACGGAAGUAUGGUGCAAUGGAUAAUAACCUAUAAAGGUUGUUUGCUGACACCUCCAUGUCACCUCACAGAGGGUCGCAGACGCAGGCUCCAGAAUCCGGUGACAUUUCACUGCAUUUCACGCUAGCUGUCCUUGGGAAGAUUUUCAGUUCAGAUACGCCUCGUGACAAAAACUCAGUGCUGGGGAGCUUCCUCUGUGAGAAAAGAACAUCUCCACUUAGGGGAAGAGAAAAUCUUGUUCCCUUUGCUCUGCAUUAUGGGCACCUGGGACAUCAUCCUAAGGUAGCACACCCUUGACCUCUCCUGGUGACACUGUGUCCUGGGCCACACAGCCUUGAUUGCCAGAGAAAUACGGAGGAGCAGGAGUCUUGGAUGGAGAGAGAGCUUGACCCACUGUCCACUACUUCAAGAAACGGGCAUAAGGUGGCAGCACUGGCAGUCCCUGCAUGUGCCUGAGGAAGCUUGGCCAAGGGCCAGGUAAGCUGGAGCUCUCAAGUCCCAGGGAGAAGACGGCAAAAGGAAACUCAAUAGAAGGCGCCAUCCUUAGCCUAUGGAGAAGUGGAAGGGGGAGGCUGUCUAACAUACAUGGUAUGCUCCCAUUUAUAUGACAUGUCUGUGAUAAGCAGCUCCACAGACCGGAAGUAGGACUGCAGCAUUGAGCUGUAGAAAACUGCUGAA